GACAAUGAAGACUGAGGUGUCUGCUUUGCAGUUUUUUCUUUUCUUUUCUUGUCUUUUUUUUUUUUUCCUAAUCAUGUGGACAUCUCUGAGAAUGAGGGGACUGGGUGACUUUGCAGUGUCUGCUUUCUAAGUUUCAAAGUGACUUUCCAGGCAAGCUGCGUAUAUCUUGGGAUCUUCACAGCACAGUGGCUGGGAAGGCAGGCGGACCCGUCUAUCAGCUUCUCCCUGGUGGGAUUCUUGCGGGGGCAGGGAUUGAGUCAAACCUUGGAAAUGACGUCAUUCUGAACUCAUCUGCCUUUAUCCAGAAGACUACCAAAGCAAACCAGAGGACCAGAGAACAGCAGCUGCUCUGGACAAAGAGGGGAGGACACCCACACCCACAUACCAAGUUCUGGUUGACUUCUACAGCAGAAGGAGCAGGAGACACCAGAAGACUCAGAGGGACUGAAAUAUAAGAAGAUCGAUGCCAGAUGUUGUUGUGAUGACAACCUGUUGGGUUGAAGGACCCCAGGAAGACACAGUCCAGAUUCACGGGGACAGAGCCACUCACCUAUUGUCACAUGCAGCACAGAAUAAUGCAGAGGCAUGGCAUCAUAACAAUUCCUGAAUGGUGCUUCUCAGAAGAUGGUACUUCUUGGGGUCUGGUACCUGGACUAGUGAGGCUUCUCAGGGGAUGGGACCCCAACCCAGAAUGACA
ensembl:processed_transcript Gm14005 predicted gene 14005